rnacentral:tRNA from 1 species
GAGCGUGGUUCAGCUUGCGCUGGCGAAUUCGAACCCGAGACAAAGUACGUGCAAUGACCGGGUUUCUGGGCGGUCUCGAAAACCGUUAUCCGUCGUUAGGCGGAUCGAGGGUUCGAAUCCCUCCCCCUCCGCUUUCCA